rnacentral:rRNA from 1 species
CCUACGGGGGGCUGCAGUCGAGAAUCUUCCGCAAUGGGCGAAAGCCUGACGGGGCGACGCCGCGUGGAUGACGAAGGCCUUCGGGUUGUAAAAUCCUGUCGCGAGGGAAGAACCGCUGGGGGUUAAUAGCCUUCCAGCCUGACGUUACCUCGAGAGGAAGCCAUGGCUAACUCCGUGCCAGCAGCCGCGGUAAUACGGAGAUGGCAAGCGUUGUUCGGAUUUACUGGGCAUAAAGCGCACGUAGGCGGAUCUACAAGUCGGUUGUGAAAUCCCGGGGCUCAACCCCGGAACUGCGGCCGAUACUAUAGAUCUAGAGCAUGAAAGGGGAGAGUGGAACUUCUGGUGGAGCGGUGAAAUGCGUAGAUAUCAGAAGGAACACCGGUGGCGAAAGCGACUCUCUGGUUCAUUGCUGACGCUGAGGUGCGAAAGCUAGGGGAGCAAACGGGAUUAGAUACCCUAGUAGUC